AGAGCGAACGCUGGCGGCAGGCCUAACACAUGCAAGUCGAGCGCCCGUAGCAAUACGGGAGCGGCAGACGGGGUAGUAACACGUGGGAACGCGCCCUUCGGUUCGGAAUAACUCAGGGAAACUUGAGCUAAUACCGAAUACGCCCUUACGGGGAAAGAUUUAUUGCCGAAGGAACGGCCCGCGUCCGAUUAGCUAGUUGGUGAGGUAAUGGCUCACCAAGGCUACGAUCGGUAGCUGGUCUGAGAGGAUGACCAGCAUCACUGGGACUGAGACACGGCCCAGACUCCUACGGGAGGCAGCAGUGGGGAAUAUUGGACAAUGGGCGCAAGCCUGAUCCAGCCAUGCCGCGUGGAUGAUGAAGGCCUUAGGGUUGUAAAGUCCUUUUAACGGGGAAGAUAAUGACGGUACCCGUAGAAUAAGCCCGGCUAACUUCGCGCCAGCAGCCGC
rnacentral:rRNA from 1 species